rnacentral:rRNA from 1 species
ACGUAUGGUGCAAGCGUUAUCCGGAUUUACUGGGUGUAAAGGGAGCGUAGACGGAUGGGCAAGUCUGAUGUGAAAACCCGGGGCUCAACCCCGGGACUGCAUUGGAAACUGUUCAUCUAGAGUGCUGGAGAGGUAAGUGGAAUUCCUAGUGUAGCGGUGAAAUGCGUAGAUAUUAGGAGGAACACCAGUGGCGAAGGCGGCUUACUGGACAGUAACUGACGUUGAGGCUCGAAAGCGUGGGGAGCAAACAGGAUUAGAUACCCUGGUAGUCCACGCCGUAAACGAUGACUACUAGGUGUCGGGUGGCAAAGCCAUUCGGUGCCGCAGCAAACGCAAUAAGUAGUCCACCUGGGGAGUACGUUCGCAAGAAUG